CGUUAGGCGCGACGGGUGAGUAACACGUGGGUAACCUACCUAUAAGACUGGGAUAACUUCGGGAAACCGGAGCUAAUACCGGAUAAUAUUUCGAACCGCAUGGUUCGAUAGUGAAAGAUGGUUUUGCUAUCACUUAUAGAUGGACCCGCGCCGUAUUAGCUAGUUGGUAAGGUAACGGCUUACCAAGGCGACGAUACGUAGCCGACCUGAGAGGGUGAUCGGCCACACUGGAACUGAGACACGGUCCAGACUCCUACGGGAGGCAGCAGCA
rnacentral:rRNA from 1 species